rnacentral:misc_RNA from 1 species
GAUGAAGAACGUAGCGAAAUGCGAUACUUGGUGUGAAUUGCAGAAUCCCGUGAACCAUCGAGUCUUUGAACGCAAGUUGCGCCCGAAGCCACUAGGCCGAGGGCACGCCUGCCUGGGCGUCACACGCCGUUGCCCCCCCAUCUACUCCUUCGGGAUUGCGGGGGGGCGGAUGAUGGCCUCCUGUGCGCCUAGCCGCGCGGUUGGCAUAAAUACCAAGUCCUCGGCGACGCACGCCACGACAAUCGGUGGUUGCGAAACCUCGGAUGCCCGUCGUGUGCGUUCGUCGCGCAUCGAGGGCUCGAAAAAAUGCUCGGCUCCGGCUGGGCUUUCAACGCGACCCCAGGUCAGGCGGGGUUACCCGCUGAAUUUAAGCAUAUCAAUAAGCGGAGGA